rnacentral:rRNA from 1 species
CGCGGGUAACCUGCCCAAGAGACUGGGAUAACACCUGGAAACAGAUGCUAAUACCGGAUAACAACACUAGACGCAUGUCUAGAGUUUAAAAGAUGGUUCUGCUAUCACUCUUGGAUGGACCUGCGGUGCAUUAGCUAGUUGGUAAGGUAACGGCUUACCAAGGCAAUGAUGCAUAGCCGAGUUGAGAGACUGAUCGGCCACAUUGGGACUGAGACACGGCCCAAACUCCUACGGAAGGCAGCAG